GGCUGUUCUGAAGGUAGUGAGUUAUCUCACUUGAUUGUUCACAGUCAAUCAGAGAUUGAACUCCUUCUUUCCCCCUUCUCACUACUGCAUUGACUAGUCUUAG
rnacentral:Y_RNA from 1 species